GCGAUAGUGGAGCGAAGGCGGCGGUGCGCGCGGGAGAGGCGCGAAGGUGGCCGAGGGGGCGAGCGGUGCGUGGCCGCUGAGAGAGAUGGCGGCUGGAGCUGCGCCGCGCUGCCGGGCGGUUGUAACGCAGCGCUCCGCGGUGGCUGUUAGGCCCGGCGGAUGGCGUCAGCCCGUGCCGGCACCGCUAAUGCUGGGCGGGUAGAGCAGCCCGGGGGUCUCCUCCCAGUAACCUGUACGGAUCUGAGGUGGUCUUGGACCGGCGGAGGAGAGCUUCGGGUCAGAUGUGAGCGGGAAGGGCUUCGCUCAGAGGGCGGUGAGGACUGGCACGGCUGGCCGGGGAGCCGGGGGUGCCCCAACCUGCAGGCACCCACGGGCUGGGGGGCCCUGGGCAGCCUGACGUGGUGGCUCUGGGACCGGGUGGGCUCUGAGCUCCUUCCAGCCCGAACCGUGACGUGAUCCGAAGGAAAUACUGCGCUCCUCCUGGGCUCGGGGUGACGUGCAGUGCGCGGGCUUCUUGCAGGGCUCAGCGCCGGGCACACACGCAUUCUGUAAGCUGUUGCCCGUGGUUUCUGUUGCGUGGAAAAGCUUUUAGUGAGCUACUGAUGCUCCUUGGAAAAAGCUUCCUUCUGUAUGGAGAAGAACUGUAUGGAGAAAAACAGCUGCCUAGUGUAAAUAAAUGAAAUAAUCAGCCAGCGCAGCUACUGGUGGGUUCAAAUAAAUUAGAAAGGGGUAAAUUGCACUUAGAAUUUCCCUUAAUAUUACGUAUUGGAAAGACCAACCACAUAUGCUUUCCAUUUCUGGGCUUGGCUUUUCCAAGAAUAGAGUCUUGUAUUAGGUUAAAUUUAAGUUUGGUGUUUUGUCUCAGGCUAGUGUUGGAGGUGUGUGUUUCUGAUGUGAUAACUUAAAAAAGUGAGUUAUUGUAUCAAAAUUGGGGAAUGUUCAUUUGUUUCCAGAGAAUUUACACUCAAAUUAUUUCAUAAAGUGUCAUGAAUUUUUUAUUUCAAGAGUAAAACAAAAAUUCUGUAAAAUGACGUGAAAACAAUCACAGAAUUGUUUGAGUUGGAAGGGACCCUUAAAGGCCACCUACUACAACUCCUUGCAAUGAACAGGGACACCUGCAGCUCCAUCAGGUGCACAGAGCCCCGUCCAGCCUGACCUUAAGUGUCUCCAGGGAUGGGGCACCCACCACCUCUCUGGGCAACCUGUGCCAGCGCCUCGCCUCCCUUAUUGUAAAAAACACCUUUAUGUUCAAUCUGAAUCUUCCCUGUAUGAAUUCACAAAUGUUCACAGAUGCAGGAUGAACAAAUAUCAGAGACAAUUACUGAGGUCAGAAGGGAACUCUGCAGGAGAAUGUUCCAAAUUCAACUCGGAGCAAGAGCCUGUUGCUUUUGGUGUUCAGUUCAGUUUGGAAGGUCUCCAAAGCCUGUGCUUGUGAUCACCCUCCCUGUAUAAACAUAUAUUUUUUAAUUAUUAUUAUUUCUGCUAUCUCAGUCUGUGUUCAGUGUUCAGUUCCGUUGCACCUCCUCCUGUCACUGGUCACCACUGGGAAAUCUGGCUGUGUCUUCACUCUGUCUCAUCAUGGUGAUGCUUACACGCAGCGUUGAGGUCCCCAGGACCUCAGGGAGUCUCUCUCAGAGCUGAGCUGUCCCAGAUCUCAGACUGACCUCAUGCGGCAGUGUUUCCGAACACUGUAGGUAGAUGACUUCAGUGAAUUAUUUAUUAAAAGAAUAUGUAGGAGAAGAAAAGGAAAAUAAGUAUUUCUUGUAUUCAUCAGUCCAAAUCUUAAAAAUAUAAAUAAAUAAAUAAAAACCAGUUCAUCUCUAAUAUAACCAACAGCAAUUGAUUUAUGGCACUCCUAAUACAGGGCAAGAGCACCAACAGCCUCUUGGAGUGCACCCUCAGCUUUCAUUAACUUUCUUCUCUGGUAGCCUGGACAGUAUUGUGCAGUUUUUGGUCUGUAUUAAGUUAUAACAUGUCAUCAUUUUAUUAUCAAAGGGAAUGACUCAGCCUUGCCACCAUUCGUAGGAUUUGAUUUCCCAGGCAACGAUGCAGUUUAUUACAGUGCUAAAAUUAAUUAUAUCUGCCCUCUUAAUAUAUGCUUGGGGCUCAAUAUCUGGACGGCCAUUUUCAAAACAAAAGGAUUUAUGUCUUGGAUCAGGUAUCAUAAAAAAACAGCUGUAACAAAUAAAGCACAGCUCUGUUAUGAGUCUAAGUAGUUCCUUCUGUUAGAAGCUUUUGAAUGCUUGAUUUAUGUGAAAAAUGACCUAAUGUGCUCGCAUUUAAGAGAAUUCUAGCAUGACAAUUUAUUAUUUGUGGGCUGUAUUAACAAUCAAAUUUCAGAUUCAUAAGCAUUUGGAAGAGAAAGUUGGAAAUGGAAAUGCAGCGAUGUGCUCUGUAGGCUGGCGUGCAGAAUGCAGGCUGUGCUGGAGAUGGCACAACGCUGAGUGAAGGGCUCCCACCACGUGAGGCCAAGGUCCCACACGUUAUUGGCUUAGUCUGGCAGCUCCCUGCUGCCUGUCCUUACCCUCAGUCACGGGACUUCUUUUCUCCUCCUUUCUGCCAGGCGUGUCCCUUAUUGGAUGCUUCCAAAAACAAGUGAAAUUCCCUAGUUGAGGAGAAAGCUAUAUGGCUGGGAGCUGGUUUUAUGUCACUGUAUUGCAUUUGGCAUGCUCUGAGCAGAUCCCGUGGCUGUAGACCUGGAGCAAGGUGAGAAGUGGAAGUGCGUGCCCAGGUGUGGUGGGGAGAGGAAUGCAGCAGAGUCUGACCCUGCUGGCAGCGAGGUGGUCAAUUGCUUCACCUGCUCUUUGCCUUUUCUUAGAUUCUGAGUGUUGAGAAAUGUCUUGCUUCUCUGAGAUGCUGUGUUCUGUGCGUGCCCCCCCUGGUACGCACUGAAAGAAAAUGAAAGCUUUUAGCUGAGGUUGUGAGCUGGAGUGAGACGCUAUAUGUGAGUGAGUCUCUGGCCUUUGUUGCUGGAAAGAGAUAGCCAAAUUCUGAAUCAAACAUUUCCAGAUAUGAGUGUCUUGAGAACUGAAACAGGUGAUUUCAGAAGUGUGAAUUUCUGCCUUAAGAAUUGUUAGCACACAUUCCCACUGAAGUGGUUCUGUAAAUAGUGAACUUUAAUUGCUUACUGGGACAUUUCAGAAAGGUAUGAAUGAGAUCAAGCAUUGGUGCCUCUGGGGUACAGGACUGGGCAAACCUGCUGCAGCCAUGCAGGGAAGAGCACGGCCAGUCCUGGUCAAUGAAACAAUUACUGUGUGUAAGUUGUGAUUGAAAGGGGGAAACAAAAGAAGCCAGCCGAUGUUGUGUUACUUAAAACUUUGUAGGCACAAAAGAGAAGAUGAAAAUUAAUGGAAAGAGAAAAAUAUAGAAAUGAGUGGCACAGAUGGGCCUGGAAAAUCAGUGGAAAAGACAAAUCCCCUCCCUGGCUGUUUCCUGGAUUAACAAAGUCCCGUCCUCAAACAAGACACAAAGAGGUCUGAGCAGAUGAGCAUCUACAUGGCAUUGACAUGGUCCUGUUCAUGUGUUCAUGGGAAUGUUUCAAUGAAUAACUAUUAACAGAGAGUUCCAGGCGAUCUGAGUGUCUGAGCAGGUCCCUGGGUAUGUUGCUCUUCAGCUCGCCGUACAUCUCUUUGAGCUUCCAGCCUGUGGCGUGCACAGUUCCUACUGACAACAACAGAAUGACAAAGAUGAAUCCCACGCACCAGAACUGACAUUCCAUUCUCUUUCCUGCCCCAGGAUCAGGUCUUAGCACUGAGAAACUCCUGGGGUCUGCAGCAUGUCACAGCAAUUCUAUACUGACAGCGUAUCUGUUGGGACACACAUCCUCUGUUGUCAGAACACAGCCACAGCAGCAGCCAUGUUUUAUUCGGCUCUGUUCUGGGGCUCCCACAAGUGUGCAGGAAGUUUCUGAGAGCAGUGCCAUAUCCUUCAUAGCUGAGGGUGAUGUCGUGUGAUCCGUUACAUGUGUCCUGCUUCCAGAAAUAUCACAAUGAAGAGUUGAGUGAAACUUUUCUCCAGAAUAAGUAGUUCCAUGUGGCAAGCCCUGCUGAGAGUAAAGAAAAGCUUCGGCACCCAGAGAUCCAUCUGCAUCUCAGAAAUGUCUUUUGUGGCUCAGUGUGUAGGCCAGGAAACAACUCUGUCACCUUUUUUUUUGCUGCUUAAUACCAGAAUGUUCUGCUGCUAUAAACUGUCUGCAACAUUUUGAAUAGUACAGCGUAAAACUGAAUUCCUCUCUGAAUGCUGCAUUGCACAUAUUGCACUAUCCACUUGAUUUUUUCGUUUGUAUGUUUCGAGAAAGGAAAUAUCCAUCAUGGGGAAUUUAAAAAACGUGGAGUUUGAGCCCAGGAUGAAUUCUGACGGCUUGGUUACCAUCAGCCCCUCAGAGCUGCAGCUUAGUGGAAACACUGACAUAUUCUCUACGAUAGCGGUGGGAACAGUGCCAGUGGAACAGAGAGUCUCGGGGGCGUAGCGUGAGGCAGAAUCACAGUGGUUCCCCCCAUCACCACUUCUUUGAAAAUAAACCUAAUGGAAAAUUUGUGCACACCUGUUCCUUUGACUAAGAAGGGAGUCACCUCUUUGCACCAGUGGCUGUUGUUACUGGGUGUAGUACAUUAUCACAUUGCGUUUUGCAUGUGGCAAAAGGUGCUGGGGAGAUUAUCCCCUACAGGAAGUCAAAGGCGCCACACUGCGUCCAGGCUGCUGUGAGGGGGAAGCCACUGCUUUGCUCUUCUUGUGUCCCCUACCACACGCUGCCAUGACAGUCCCUGCCUGCCCUUGGCUGAGCCAGUGGUGACGAGCUCUGCACAGAGGUUCCAGUGACGUGGCUUAGCGCUGCCUGCGUAUUUCGUUUGUUUCUGAUGAUCUUGCUGAUCUUGCCUGCAAUGGGGAAAUAAGGGUUCAUGUGCACAGCUCCGCAGGCACAGCAGCAGGGCAGAGGGAACAGUGCUAAAGGGCGGCUCUGGGCUGCAGCUGGAGCCAGAAAGUGACAUCUGUCCAGAGCUGCCUUCUGACAGCGAGCGGCACAACGUGACGUUCUGUGUGACACACUGGGGCAGUUCCCGCUGCGGUGUGCAGUGCUCCAUUUGUUUUCACAAAAUGCCUGUGAAAGAACAACGUUCCCCCCAAAAAAGUGCCUCACUGAAUUGUUGGGGGAAAUUCUUGCAAAUGAAGAAAAGUGAAGGAAAGAAAGCAGCUAUUUGAAAAGACAUGGAUUACUAAAAAAGACGUGAGCUUGACAGUACUUUGCAGUCAGCUUUAUGCUUUGUUGUUCCUAUUACAAAGCUAAGAAUGAUUCAAAUCCAUUUAUAUAAAACUUUAAGGCAUAGAAGGGCAAGAGAAUGGCUCUUCUACACCUCUCAGAUUACAUUUGUGCAAUGAGAUGCUGGAAUAUGCUCUGGUGUUUUGUUUGGGUGUGAGGAACGCAAAGACAUAAUAAUUACCAGCCAAUACACCAGUUUAAUGCUGUGUUCAGAAUAUUUGACCCUUAAAAUAGAGGCAUCAGAAUUUUUAACAAAACAAAAAAUAGAAAAGAGUUGCCAUAUAUGAAAGAAGGUGAAAUUCUUAAAGACAAGGAUUGUGAAAGUUCUGCUGCUAACACUGAGCAAUUAGCUAAGCAUGGUGUUUUGAAAAUAUAGAAAUGAAAUACUAAGAACACAGGGCACAGUUAUUGCUAAAGUCUUACAUUCCAAUUCUGGUGUAUGAGGCGGGUGCCAAAUGCUGUUAAAGUGCAGCAGCUCUGCUGCUGAUUGCUUGUUUCUGACUUGGGUCUGUCUUCAUGCGGAGCAGUGUGGAGCUGCUGGCUCUGAAGUUGGGAAUUUUGCUGGGCUCAGCUAUAGAAAGCUGCCAAGAACGGGCCAUGCACCUGCUUCUGGGGGUGCUGAAGUUUAUCCUUCUGUUCUCCACGGGCUGUGAGUCGUACAGCUCCCUCCUCCACACACGCACAGGAUGCUGACAGCUGAGCUGUGGGAGAUUUCUUUCCUUCAAGCAGUUCAAACAAGUCCUUGUUCCUUGCUGGGACUGCAAUCCCAUGAUCCCAGUCAUUGAUUCAUAGGGUCAUAUAAUCGUUUGGGUUGGAAGAAACAUUUAGCAGUCAUGUAGUCCAACUUCCCUGCAACAAGCAGCUCAAUCAGGUGCUCAGAGCCCCAUCCUUGGGUAUCUCCAAGAACAGGACAGCCACUGCAUCCCUGGGCAACCUUUUCCAGUGCCUCACUGCCCUUAUUGUAAAGAACUUCUUCCUUACGUACAGUCUAAAUCUCCCCUCUUUUAGUUUCAGACCAUUUCCCUUUGUCCUAUCCCAACACACCCUACUGAAGAGUCUGUCCCCUUCCUUCGUACAGCCCUUUUAGAUGCCAAAAGGCCAAUUCUUGGUCUCCCUGGAGUCUUCUUCUCUCCAGCCCCAGCUCUCAGCCUGUCCUCACAGGGAGGUGUUCCAUCCUUUGGGUCAUUGCUGUGGCCCUCCUCUGGAUGUGCUCCAGCAGCUCCAUGUCUCUCCUGUACUGCUGACUCCACAUCUGGACGCAGUACUGCAGGGCUAAAAUAUCUGUAACGCAAAGCGUGAAGCGUGGAAUUUGGUCCUGCUGUGGGCAAGGUAACAAUAUGAAGGGUAUGAGACAAGGUAAGUUUUCACUGUGCUUUACAAGUGCACACAAUUUGCAUCUCAUCAGCUUCAAGGCCUCUGCUGGUGAUAUUUCCUUCUUCUAAGAAUAGAGCCUGAAAGUAUUUUAAGAAUUCUAGUUGUCGUGCAAUUAAUAGCGUAACACUUUGUUCUGAGUAACAAGAUUCGCUUGUUUUGAGUGCUAACAGUAUUUUGCAUGUAAAAUAAGAAAGGCAGUGGGGAACGUUUUAUUGCCAGCGCUUUUCCUUACAGGGGGAUGAAUCACGUACAUUCUUGGCAACCAAGCUCAAGUUCACAAGAAUGCUCAGUUUGAUCAACUUCCUUCAAAAUACAAAGCUCAAAGUAAAGAGGAAAACAGAGAGAAAGGAACUUGGAUGGGUUUCCAUGCAGUAGACAUUACAAGAUGGACAUCCAAGCAGGAAAACAAUAAAUCUAGUGUGCAAAUUGUUUUGCUCAAAGCAAAUCACUGACUUGCUGUUAAAGGAAGGUUCAGACUAAAUUAAGAAAAUAAUACUGGAAGGGAAAAAAAAAAAAAAAAAGAAAAGAAAAAAAAAAAGAGGAAAAGAGCCAGGGAAAAGAAAGAAAACCCUGCCAGUCUGGCAGACAUGGUGGAUGUGGAUGUUGUGUCAAACGUUUCUUUAUUUGCUAACAAAACAAUGUGAGUUUUCAAGAAAAAUUGCUAGCCUUCCCUUCAGAGUGGCAGAUUGUGCUGAGAAAUGAAAUAGGAGAAUGCAGUUAAUUUAAUUUAGGUGUGAGGAAACUGCCUGCUGUCAGGCUGUGGUUUCAUGUGACUAAGGCUGGGGAUGAUGCGAGACUUUCUGGCAGUAGUGCAGGGUCGCAGGGUUCACCAAGCUGCCCCCAGUGGUCGGGGAGCCACGCUGGGGAGAUGAUGGCACUGGAAAUGACAGAAUCACAGAAUAUGCUGAGUUGGAAGGAACCCACACGGAUCACUGAAUCCAGACCCUUCCUCCACCCAGGAACACCUGAAAUCCAAAACCGAUGUCUAAGAGCGCUGUCCCAGAGCUCCCUGAGCUCCAGCACUGGGGCCGUGCCCACAGCCCUGGGCAGCUGUUCCGUGCCCACCGCCCUCUGGCGCAGCCCCUUUCCCUCACCCCCAGCCCCCUCCCCUGACGCAGCUCCAUGCCGUUCCCUGUGGCUGUCACACCUCCCUGUGAGGAGCUGCGGCCACCAUCAGGCCUCCCCUCAGCCUGCUCCAAACGGUCUCUUCUGUUUCUAUUCCAGAGGACUGGUUUCAGCUAGAUGGGUUCCUUGUUUUGGUUCACUGAAGGGCUGCCCAUGUCACUGUGUGACGUGCUCAAGUGGCAGCAGAGGCAAUAAGGGGAUGGAGGGUGCUGGGGAAUGACCACAGCUGUAUGGGCAUCCCCGCUGCUCUGCUGCCACCCCACCAGCACCACUCUGUGACUUUUGCCCCACCACUCACUUCAGCUCAGAAUCAGCCAAAGGGCCACUUCAAUGGCCAGCACAACUGCUUGUUGGCUAGAGUGUAAACAACCAGAGCAAAACACCCAAUUAUUAUUUGGUGUCAAAUUCCCAAUUUUCCAGGUCAGGUCACCCUGCGGUUAUGCAAAGAGCUGUGCCCCGCUAUAAAAGUGUGACUGUGAGGACUGGUGGAAGACAAGGAGGUAAGUGCUGCUCCCCAAAAUCACACAUUCCUCCUGUGCAUCUCGCUUGGUACCUCCUGAUUUGCCCCCAUUCCUCACUCCCAUACUCUGCCCCCUCGUCAUGGGGCAGCAAUACAUCAUUGUGCUCAAGAUAACCGUGAGAAUGUCAAACUAAACACAGGGCUGCUGCCUUCCUGUGCAGAGCAUCCCCCCAAACCUGUGUGUGCUCAGUGAGCCUGAAUGGGGAGAAAAAAACAACUGGAGAAGAAAGAGAAGGUUAAGGCCCAGAAGGGCCGAGCGAGGCUGCGAAGGACCAUUGGAACUUGAAGCAGGGCCCCAAUCCACAGUAAUGUCAGUUUAUAAUAACCUGGGCAUCACAGAAUUGCUGCUGUUUGACUUCAGGUCAUUGUCAGUGUAUUGCCCGCUUCUGUCGUGCUCUGUAGUGCCCAAGCAGCAAGCCUGGGCUUCCUCUUUGAUUCCAUAACUUGAUAUGCUGCUUAUAAUGCAGUGAAUCCCAUACUUUCGGGACACUGUGAAUUUGCUGUGUAUUCACCGCACAACUGCAUUCCUGCUUCCUGGUCAGGUUUCCGGCACACGAGUUGGACAAUAGGUCAGCACAGGUCUUGGGGAUGUGUCCAGGUUUUCCAAACAUGCAGCCUUCCCAUUCAAGCUACUGUAUAAUCUUCAGAAAUCUAUGCAAGAAAUUUUAUUCAUGUCAGAAAAAGAAACCCCCUAGAAAACGUGAACACAGGGCAGCCUCGAGUGAGAGCCUCAAACACAGUGUGAAACCUUUGCCAAGCUGCUGAGGAGAAAUGCCAUCUACUCUCAGCUCUGGAGUUUUUAAGACUGGACAAACGUGUAUCAGAGUGAAGAGGGACAGCCUAACCCAGAUCCUUCCCAGCUUUACAUUCCUGUGAUUCUCUGCAAGGAAGGACUGGUAUGACGCUGCCCUGGCAUGAGGAACAGCAAGCACAGUCUGUUCUCUGCUCUGCAGCCUGUUCUGCACCAGACUCUUCCUGGGACCAGUGCAAAACCCAGGACAGACUCCAUGCUCAGCCCAACAGGGCUGCACACUGCAAAAAGGGGAUUCGUAUGCAGUGAGACUGUGCAUGCAUGCAUGAGGGAAUUUGCAGAGGCAAUGGUGCUCUCCCACCGUAAUGCAGAGCGAGGCUGAAACAUGAUGAGGGGCUUUGUCUGGUGUUUUUUUGUUGCUGGGUUGUGGGGUUUUGUGUGUUGUCUUUUUUUUCUUUUUCAGGAUUAAAAUGGGCAGAACAAGAGUCAGUUGUUGUUUUGGGGAAGAGGAAAGCGGUUGCUGUCAAAACGUUUCACCGACUUGGCAAAAUUGCCAAGCUGGCCCUGCGUGCAGCGCGCACCAACUUCAAAGGGUUUAUCUUGAAUAAGGAUUAGCGGGAGCCAGAUCGCUGCUUCCUACACGCAUUCUGCUGAGGGUAAAUGAUAUGCAAGCCAAUACCCAAAGGGUGUGUUUUCCUUCUGAAGCCAGCCACGUCGCCGGCACCUCUGCCAGCAGGUUUGUGGCAUCGAUCUCGCUUCAGAAGCGUGCGUACACCCAGAGGCAGCGCGGCUGUGACCCGGCCCCGGGAGCGGGCGGCUUGCAACCGCAGCGGGGCCGCAACAGAACAGCGGGGCAGGCCCCGCUCCAGCAGCGAGCCGGCCACUCGGGAGGGGUGUGUGGCUCUCGAACAGGAUGCAGGCUGAAUAACCCUCCAUUCCUGAAGAGGGUGGUCCCCGAAGGUCAGGGCUGCCUUCAAUGGGGUGGCGGUGUGAGAGGAAACUGCCUCAGAGGGUGCUUUCAUAAUGCUCGGACUGUGAAUAAAUUCAGCUUGUUGUACUCCGGGUUCCCAAGAGUUAGUCAUCAAAAACGUGAAUAGGAGAAUAAGGUUAGGAAAAGAACAAUUCUCCAGCUGAACUUCCAUUCCGGGAUGAAUGGGGUCCCUCCCCCUUCCUCCUUUGACUCCAGACAAAGGGCUUUGUAGGCCGUGUAGGAAUUCUCUUUGCUGCCUAGGAGGAAUGCAUGGCAGUAGGUGACACAAACAUGGGCAGGGCGCAGCUCACACAGCCACAGGCUGAAGUUGGACGGACCUCUGGAGAUGAUCCAUCCCAAAGCCCUGCUCAGGCAGGGUCAGCUGCAGCGCAUGGCCCAGCGUCUGCCCACUGGCCUUUGACCAGCUCCACAUUGCAGCAUCUCUGGGCCACGGUGCUCCGGCUCUGCGUGGACAGGCGGUGACCUGAGACGUGAUGUCGCUGUAGGCCACUCUGACACCUUCUGUCUUCCCAGUAAAAGAACAGAGUCAAAGCACAGUAUCACACUACAUGUGUGAUACUGACUGGUUCUGGUGAGUCUGGGUAUGAAGAUGUGGGUCAGGGCUGAUCCAUGCUUUGCCCAGUUGCUUAAUUAUGAAAAUAAGACAGACGAAGAGAAUGUUGGGUGCUGCAUGGCAUUAACACACUGUGGCCCUUUAGGAGCAUCCUUGAAUUAGGAUAGAACUGACCGCUGCUCCAGCAAAUGCUCCACUUAAUGUAGUGGUAGGGGGCCCAGGGGCCUUUGAACUUGAUGCAACAAUAAACCCAGAGAAAAUGAUAGAGAUAUUUCAUACUUCAAGACAUAAUGAUUUUUCUGGGUGUAUUUGUUUCUCAAGGUUCCAGAAGGUGAAGGGGCAGACAGGGUCAUGCCUUCUAGUCUCAUGUGUCCACAUCAGCACUUUGCCCCGACCAUCACUGUUACCAGGGUGUCUGUCACUCUUUGUGAGGAGAUCUGAUCUGAAAUCUCCACUGAGGCACAUAUAGGCUCCAAGACUGUUGUAUGUUGCUCAAGCUAAAGUCACUGAAACGUUUCAGUUAACGAACAAACACAGUCUGUUGCUUUCCUCUGUGUGACGCACAGAAAUCUGUCUGCUUCCUCCCAGAGCACAGUACAGCAUGUCUCAGCCAUUGGCUACUAUAACUAUGAGGGGCUAAGCAUUUAUAUGGCACUGUAACGGUGAACUGAGUGCUUUGCAAAUUCAAAAACACUGAUCUCAUUCCCAAAGAAUUCAGAGUCAAACAUGGUCAAGAAAAAAAUGGUGUGGUGAGCAGGAGUAGUGAAGUCAUCCUUCCCCUGUACUCGGGAACUCAUCCACUGGUGAGGCCUCACCUCGAGUGCUGUGUUCAGUUUUGGGCCCUCAGUACAGAAAGGACAUGGAGAUGCUGGAGCAGGUCCAAAGGAGGGCAACAAGGCUUGUGAAGGGCUUGGAGAAUACGGCCUAUGAGGAGAGACUGAAGGAACUGGGGCUGUUCAGGCUGGGGAAAAGGAGGCUGAGGGGAGACCUUACUGCUCUCUUCCAAUAUCUGAAAGGUGCUUACAGCGAGAGCGGGGCUGGUCUCUUGUCACUGGUGACAGGUGGCAGGAUGAGGGGAAAUGGCCUCAAGUUGUGCCAGGGGAGAGGUGUAGGUUGGAUAUCAGGAAGCACUUCUUUACAGAAAAGGUUGUGAAGCACUGGCAUAGGCUGCCCAGGGAGGUGGUUGAGUCACCAUCCCUGGAUGUGUUUAAAAACUGUUUGGAUGUGGUGCUCAGGGACAUGAUUUAGCAGAGGGCUGUUAGUUAGGGUAGGAUGGUCAGGUUGCAGUUGGACCUGAUGAUCUUUGAAGUCCUUUCCAACCUGAGCAGUUCUAUGAUUCUGUGAUUCUAUGAUGAUCUUUAGAAGUCAAGUAAUCAACCAGUGUCUAAGUUCUUCUCUCUUUAAAACUGAUAUUACUUCACUGUACACGCAUGCAGCUACCAAAAUAAAUGCAGGCUAAAAAGGAAUGGCUGAGAGGAGCCCAGAGGUGUUGUGGCAAGAGAGCUCGGGAGGCUCUCAGGAAGCAAGGGAGGGGAAUGGAGCAAAAAGAGGAAACUCCAGAGAGGAGAAUGCUCCUUGUGAGUGAGGAGGCAGGAAGCCACUGAAAGGAUUAAGAAAUGAGAUGUGUCCUUAAAGUGUGGGGGAAAAGAAGGUAGAUUAACCUUUAAGUUAGGUAAAGGGAGUACAAGAGAACCUGCAGUGUAACUAAGCAAAUUGCAGCUGCUGAAGAAAGGAAUGGGCAGAGCGCAUAGAAAGACUGUAGACCCGGUGAUAAAAAAGCAAGGGCCACUUUGAGAAGAUACUAAGGCAGAAAAGAAAAGCUUUGGAUUAUACCUUGAAUGAGAGCCUGGUUAUAAGAAAGAAAACAUUGCCCCAAAACUAGAGAAAGUGCUGAAAGCAGAUUUAGUGAGAAUUGUUCCUUUCACAUCUGAAAAAAAAAAAAAAAAAAAAAAAAAGUAGGUAAUAUGAGCAAAGACUUUGGGAGAAGAAACAAUUAAAAACAACAGCAACAACAGCAUGGGUAUGAAACUGUCAGUCAUGGACAAGACAUAAAAUCACUUCCUCACCAGAAACAAAGGCAGAAACUGGGAGGAGAGCGGCACUGUUCGUAGUGUGGUGUCUGAGGCGCCUCCAGACAGACACCCAGCACAGCUGACCAGCACAGCUGUUCGGUGUCCCCUCUCCUCUGUCAAGAUGAACAGUAAGUUUCCAGUAAAUGGGCACAAAGAGGAGAACUGCACUGGCUGUGAAAUGCAAAGUGGCCAAGGAAAUUGUGACACACAAAAGCAGAGUUUGCUUGGGUUUCACAGCAUUGUACAAGGCUUCUUAAAAAGCCAUAACUUUAAAUUUGCACAUCUGUAUUGCUAUGUAUUCAGGAGAUAUUUAAACAGACUCAGUGUGCACAGAAGCUCGUGACGUAUCCUGAGCCUGCCCCACUGCUACAAACACAGCAAGGGCUUGGCACUGAGUGCGCCAGCACUUGGAGUUACAUGUGAUUGUAUGAGAAGGGGAGAACAGAUGAAAGAGAAAUAAGACUGUUUUUAUUAGGCUGAAGGGAGUGCAAAGAGCAUGGGGAGUAACUGCAAAUACCUGAAUUCACAGCACCUGGAGCAAGACGCGGCUAGGGCACCAAUAUUUGUAGUCAUGGUGACAGAGAAACAAGGGCCUCUUGAAGUAUUUUUCAGCCCUGGUGAGAUGGUGCCUGACAAUUUGUUGCGACUGAUGUGUCUCUAUUCACUUUGAUUUACAGGAUAAUAAUACCACUAUCUUUGGGAUUCUGGUGCUCUAAGACUCACAGAAGACUCUACUUAUUUAAAAUGUUACAGCAAUAGGCAACUUGUGAUUCUCAUUAUGAACAAAUUCUGUAUUUUAAUUAUUUGCAAACACCUCUUACCUAUCUUGCAGUUUUAGUGACUGAUGAUGAAUAAAACCACCCCUAACACUGAAAGGUUGUUGUUUUUUUUUAAUUGUAGUCUUCAGAAUUUAUGAGCUCUUAACACAGUAUGCA